rnacentral:rRNA from 1 species
UACGUAGGGCGCAAGCGUUUGUCCGGAAUUAUUGGGCGUAAAGAGCUCGUAGGCGGUUUGUCGCGUCUGCUGUGAAAUCCCGAGGCUCAACCUCGGGCUUGCAGUGGGUACGGGCAGACUAGAGUGCGGUAGGGGGAGACUGGAAUUCCUGGUGUAGCGGUGGAAUGCGCAGAUAUCAGGAGGAACACCAAUGGCGAAGGCAGCACUCUGG